rnacentral:RNase_P_RNA from 1 species
AGGAUGAAUAAUCGCGGCUGUCCGUCCUUCUUUUGGAAGGGCGGCAGGUGAGGAAAGUCCGGGCUUCACAGGGCAGGAUGCCGGAUAACGUCCGGUGGAGGCGACUCCAAGGCCAGUGCAACAGAAAUAAACCGCCCCGGAAUGCUUCGAAAACGGAGCAUUUCCGGAAAGGGCCUUCGGGCCUGGUAAGGGUGGAAAGGCAGAGUAAGAGACUACCGCCCGUCUGGCAACAGGCGGGGCACAUGUAAACCCCAUCCGAAGCAAGACCAGACAGAAAGCGACAGGCUUGCCCGGCCUGCUUUCAGGUAGGUCGCUUGAGGCUGCCGGCAACGGCAGUCCUGGAUAGAUGAUUAUUCACGACAUAACCCGGCUUACAGUCCUGCUCAU